rnacentral:tRNA from 1 species
CGCGGUGUAGCUUAGUGGGAAAGCAGACGACCGAUAAUCGUCAGACGGAAGUUCGAUUCUUCCCGCCGCGA